rnacentral:rRNA from 1 species
GACGAACGCUGGCGGCGUGCUUAAUACAUGCAAGUCGAGCGAACAGGCGCGGAGUUUGCGGGUUUCUCGAUUGCCGAACGGGUGAGUAUCACGUGUGUAACCUCCCCUUAUCUUUCUGGUAUCUUCAGGAAACUGGGGCUAAUACACGGUAUAAGCUCCUGCUCCGUGGGGGGCAUUGGAAAGUGUCGGCGGUUGGGGAUGGACUCGCGGCUUAUCAGCUUGUUGGUCGGGUAGUGGCUUACCAAGGCUUUGACGGGUAGCCGGCCUGAGAGGGUGACCGGGCACAAGGCGACUGAGAGAGGGAGCAGAAUCCAACGGGAGGCAGCAGUGGAGAAUAUUGCACAACGGGCGGAAGCCUGAUGUAGCAACGCCGCGUGCGGGAUGACGGGCUUCGGGUUGUAAACCGCUUUCGAAUGUGACGAAGAGGGAGUGACGGUAACGGGUAAAGAAGCACCGGCUAACUACGUG